rnacentral:lncRNA from 1 species
AGUGUCCUUUCUAGUACAUAAAGAGAUCCUCAUUGUCUCCUUCUUAUUCCAUUUACUGAGGACUUAUAUAGCAGAAAGCCAAGCAAAGAGAAAUAGAUAUUGUUCCUAUCCUCAAGGAAUCAGAGUCUAGUGAGUGGAAAGUGAACCAUUAAUCCAGCAGUGCCCUGCAAAGACGGCUAAAGCAGAGCUUCUCUUCGCCUCAGAUAAAGAAGCCAGGAGCUACAAUUCCUUCCCACCUGCUCCCUAGAUACCCCGUUCCAAGACAGGAGCACCCAAGUCUCUGACACCCUCCUGCUUCACCCAUCCGCCUGACUUGGCUGAACGCUGGUGUCCUGGAACUCAUUCUCUUUCUCUGAUCUUCCUGUCCACUGCCAGAGAGUGGUGCCACAAUUCCAAAAAUGAAAGGAAAGUAAAAGA